rnacentral:SRP_RNA from 1 species
GCGCCAUCAUUGCCGGAGGGGGGCUACCCGGCGGCGGCGCCCCCGUUGGCGAUGGUGACCCAGAGGGCUCCAGCAACGCG